CCUACGGGGGGCUGCAGUGGGGAAUAUUGGACAAUGGGCGAAAGCCUGAUCCAGCCAUGCCGCGUGUGUGAAGAAGGCCUUCGGGUUGUAAAGCACUUUCAGUGGGGAAGAAAGCCUUGGGGCUAAUACCCUCGAGGAAGGACAUCACCCACAGAAGAAGCACCGGCUAACUCCGUGCCAGCAGCCGCGGUAAUACGGAGGGUGCGAGCGUUAAUCGGAAUUACUGGGCGUAAAGCGCGCGUAGGCGGUCUGAUAAGCCGGUUGUGAAAGCCCCGGGCUCAACCUGGGAACGGCAUCCGGAACGGUCAGGCUAGAGUGCAGGAGAGGAAGGUAGAAUUCCCGGUGUAGCGGUGAAAUGCGUAGAGAUCGGGAGGAAUACCAGUGGCGAAGGCGGCCUUCUGGACUGACACUGACGCUGAGGUGCGAAAGCGUGGGUAGCAAACAGGAUUAGAUACCCUGGUAGUC
rnacentral:rRNA from 1 species